rnacentral:rRNA from 1 species
UACAGAGGUCUCAAGCGUUGUUCGGAUUCAUUGGGCGUAAAGAGCUCGUAGGCGGUUUGUCGCGUCUGCUGUGAAAACUCAGGGCUUAACCCUGAGCUUGCAGUGGGUACGGGCAGACUAGAGUGCGGUAGGGGAGACUGGAAUUCCUGGUGUAGCGGUGAAAUGCGCAGAUAUCGGGAGGAACACCGAUGGCGAAGGCAGCACUCUGGGCCGGUACUGACGCUGAGGAGCGAAAGCUAGGGGAGCAAACGGG